rnacentral:rRNA from 1 species
AUUGAACGCUGGCGGCAUGCCUUACACAUGCAAGUCGAACGGUAACGGGUCCUUCGGGAUGCCGACGAGUGGCGAACGGGUGAGUAAUAUAUCGGAACGUGCCCAGUAGUGGGGGAUAACUGCUCGAAAGAGCAGCUAAUACCGCAUACGACCUGAGGGUGAAAGGGGGGGAUCGCAAGACCUCUCGCUAUUGGAGCGGCCGAUAUCAGAUUAGCUAGUUGGUGGGGUAAAGGCCUACCAAGGCAACGAUCUGUAGUUGGUCUGAGAGGACGACCAGCCGCACUGGGACUGAGACACGGCCCAGACUCCUACGGGAGGCAGCAGUGGGGAAUUUUGGACAAUGGGCGCAAGCCUGAUCCAGCAAUGCCGCGUGCAGGAAGAAGGCCUUCGGGUUGUAAACUGCUUUUGUCAGGGAAGAAAUCUUCUGGGCUAAUACCCCGGGAGGAUGACGGUACCUGAAGAAUAAGCACCGGCUAACUACGUG